CCUACGGGCGGCAGCAGUGGGGAAUAUUGGGCAAUGGAGGCAACUCUGACCCAGCCAUGCCGCGUGAAUGAAGAAGGUCUUCGGAUUGUAACGUUCUUUAAUCAGGGACGAAAAGAAUGACGGUACCUGAGGUAUAAGCCACGGCAAACUAUGUGCAAGCAGCCGCGGUAAUACAUCGGUGGCAAGCGUUGUCCGGAAUGACUGGGCGUAAAGGGAGCGUAGGCGGGCUGUUAAGUUGGAAGUGAAAUCCCGCGGCUCAACCCCGGAACUGCAUUCAAGACUGACGGACUUGAGUGUAAGAGAGGUAAGCGGAAUUCCUAGUGUAGCGGUGGAAUGCUUAGAUAUCAGGAGGAACACCAGUUGCGAAGGCGGCUUACUAGAUUAUAACUGACGCUGAGGCUCGAAAGCGUGGGUAGCAAACAGGAUUAGAUACCCCGGUAGUC
rnacentral:rRNA from 1 species